GGGAAAGUGGCUCAGUGGUAGAGUGCUUGCCUUGCAUGCAUGAGGCCCCAGGUUCGAUUCCUCAGCACCA
rfam:Dipodomys ordii contig_37775, whole genome shotgun sequence.